GGGAUAUUGCACAAUGGGCGCAAGCCUGAUGCAGCGACGCCGCGUGAGUGAAGAAGUAUUUCGGUAUGUAAAGCUCUAUCAGCAGGGAAGAAAGGCCCAUUAUGGGAGAUGACGGUACCUGACUAAGAAGCCCCGGCUAACUACGUGCCAGCAGCCGCGGUAAUACGUAGGGGGCAAGCGUUAUCCGGAUUUACUGGGUGUAAAGGGAGCGCAGACGGAACUGCAAGUCUGAUGUGAAAGCCCGGGGCUCAACCGCGGGACUGCAUUGGAAACUGUAGAUCUGGAGUGCCGGAGGGGCAAGCGGAAUUCCUGGUGUAGCGGUGAAAUGCGUAGAUAUCAGGAGGAACACCGGCGGCGAAGGCGGCUUGCUGGACGGCAACUGACGUUGAGGCUCGAAAGCGUGGGGAGCAAACA
rnacentral:rRNA from 1 species